rnacentral:rRNA from 1 species
GGCCAGACUCCUACGGGAGGCAGCAGUGGGGAAUAUUGGGCAAUGGGCGCAAGCCUGACCCAGCAACGCCGCGUGAAGGAAGAAGGCUUUCGGGUUGUAAACUUCUUUUAAGAGGGAAGAGAAGAAGACGGUACCUCUUGAAUAAGCCACGGCUAACUACGUGCCAGCAGCCGCGGUAAUACGUAGGUGGCAAGCGUUGUCCGGAUUUACUGGGUGUAAAGGGCGUGCAGCCGGGCUGACAAGUCAGAUGUGAAAUCCCGCGGCUCAACCGCGGAACUGCAUUUGAAACUGUCAGUCUUGGGUACCGGAGAGGUCAUCGGAAUUCCUUGUGUAGCGGUGAAAUGCGUAGAUAUUAGGAGGAACACCAGUGGCGAAGGCGACUUUCUGGACUGUACCUGACGCUGAGGCGCGAAAGCGUGGGUAGCGAACGGGAUUAGAUACCCCAGUA